CUUUUUAUUUAUAAAAAGUGUAGACUAUAUCUUAAACUUGUAUUUUUGACACGCAAAAAUGAUAAGCCCAUUAACUUAUAGUCGUUGAACUGCAACAAUUUAAAUUGUCUUGGCUGCUUAUUAUCCAAAUAACAAACUCAUAACAUUAGUAUUUGUUAUCUCAGGAUUUUUAUGCAAUUUGUUAAUGUCACCAUAUAUUUAAUAUAUGAUUAGCAUAUGAUUAACAUAA
rnacentral:ncRNA from 1 species